rnacentral:rRNA from 1 species
UACAGAGGUCCCAAGCGUUGUUCGGAUUCACUGGGCGUAAAGGGUGCGUAGGCGGUCGGGUAAGUCUGAUGUGAAAUCUCACAGCUUAACUGUGAAACUGCAUUGGAUACUAUCCGGCUCGAGGAAUGGAGGGGAGACUGGAAUACUUGGUGUAGCAGUGAAAUGCGUAGAUAUCAAGUGGAACACCAGUGGCGAAGGCGGGUCUCUGGGCCGUAACUGACGCUGAGGAGCGAAAGCGUGGGGAGCGAACAGG